GGUUAAUAGAUUAAGCACAAUAUGUUCCCUAAUAACUAACUAACAAUUAAACAGUUCUAUCAUUCUCAAAGUCAACCCUGGAUAGAUAUCACUGCUCAGUCCACUGGCCGGUUUGGAAGAUAAUUGGUGGUGAGAAAGACACAUUAGUGGGGAAAAAACAGAUCACAGAAUUCACUAUUGAGAAAUAAUACAAUAAAUAGUUUGCAGCUAGAGGGUCACAUUACGUCUAAAGCAAUUCACACAGGGUUAUUUACUUAAGGGAGAAUUCAAAGUGAAAGUCAAAUUUAAGGCCCAGAGUAGUUGAACUGAAUUAACUAAUUUAGACAAUUUCCCCAGUUCAGCGACUUUUAACGUCAAUUUCAAAUUCACUUUGAAUUCACCUCUAAUUCUCACCUUAGUGAAUAACCCUGACAACGUGUGAUUGUGUCUAGUUGUGUGAAUAUAUAUUACAUGAAAGAAAAAUAAAAAGGGUUUAUUCACUAAAGGGAGAAUUCAAAGCCAAUUUCAAAUUUAAGGUCAAAAUUUGUGAACUGGAAAAAUUCUCAAUCUUAGUGAUCCUUUAACUCAGCUACUCUGGCCUUAAAUUUGAAAUAUUAUUUUAAAUUCUCACUCUAAUAAAAACCCUGCAAGAGAAUCUACAUUCAGUCAGUCAGUCACUAUGUAUCAGGCAGGCAGGAUCACUGUUCAGUCGUGACACGUCCAUACGCCUCCUGUCAGAGUGGGUUAAUAUUACAGUAAAAUGACACCUACCCAGGAGACACCAUUGUUCAUUGAGUGGUCUAUUUGUAGCAAUUCUGCUCCUUGUUCACUACACCGCUUUGUUGGUG